rnacentral:rRNA from 1 species
ACGUAGGGUGCGAGCGUUAAUCGGAAUUACUGGGCGUAAAGCGUGCGCAGGCGGUUCGCCAAGUCAGGUGUGAAAUCCCCGGGCUUAACCUGGGAAUUGCGCUUGAAACUAGCGGGCUUGAGUGUGGCAGAGGGGGGUGGAAUUCCACGUGUAGCAGUGAAAUGCGUAGAGAUCGGGAGGAACAUCAGUGGCGAAGGCGGCCAUCUGGGACAACACUGACGCUGAAGCACGAAAGCGUGGGGAGCAAACAGGA